rnacentral:rRNA from 1 species
ACGCCUACAAGCGGUCGGAGCAGCUUAGGCUGUGACGGCGUGCCUUUUGCAUAAUGAGCCUACGAGUUACUGUUACCAGCGAGGAUAAGUAUUUCAGAUACGAAUCCGCAUCGAAAGAGAGUCUGAAUAGGGCGACAAUAGUUGGUAGUAGUAGACGCGAAACCUGGUGAUCUACCCUUGGGCAGGUUGAAGCGCUGGUAACACAGCGUGGAGGACCGAACUGGUUGUCGUUGAAAAGACUUCGGAUGACCUGAGGGUAGGGGUGAAAGGCCAAUCAAACUGGGAAAUAGCUCGUACUCCCCGAAAUGCAUUUAGGUGCAGCGUUGAUGUGAGUUUAAUAGAGGUAGAGCUACUGAUUGGAUGCGGGGGUUUCAUCGCCUACCAAUUCCUGACAAACUCCGAAUGCUAUUAAAUGCUCAUCAGCAGUGAGGGUAUGGGUGCUAAGGUCCAUAUCCGAGAGGGAAAGAACCCGGACCAUCAGCUAAGGUCCCCAAAUAUAUGCUAAGUUGACCAAACGCGGUCUGACUGCACUGACAGCUAGGAUGUUGGCUUGGAAGCAGCCAUACAUUUAAAGAGUGCGUAACAGCUCACUAGUCGAGCGGUUGGGCAUGGAUAAUAAACGGGCAUAAGCAUAUUACCGAAGCUAUGGGGUUAUUACAUAAGUAAUAUACCGGUAGGGGAGCAUUCUAUUGGCAUUGAAGCUAAAGGCGUGAGCCAUAGUGGAGCCUAAUAGAAAAGAAAAUGUAGGCAUAAGUAACGAUAAGGCAGGCGAGAAACCUGCCCGCCGAAAGAUCAAGGUUUCCUCAGCUAUGCUAAUCAGCUGAGGGUUAGUCGGGGACUAACGCGAACCCGAGUAGGGGUAGUGGAUGUACAACGGGUUAAUAUUCCCGUACCAUUAAUCUAAUAAAAGUGACGGAAUGAGAUAGCUACCGCGUACUGACGGAAUAGUACGUUUAAGGAGUUGUUAUGACUUCAAAAGUACACCGAGGCUUCGGCUGAAGUGAGAGUGGCGACAACGUUUCCAAGAAAAGCGAAGAUUAAUGCCCGUACCGUAAACCGACACAGGUGAUUGGGAUGAGAAUUCUAAGGCGCUCGAGAGAUUCAUGGCUAAGGAACUAGGCAAAAUAGACCUGUAACUUCGGGAGAAAGGUCGCCUAUCGUAAGAUAGGCCGCAGUGAAAAGGUCCAAGCGACUGUUUAUCAAAAACACAGGACUCUGCAAAAUCGAAAGAUGAAGUAUAGGGUCUGACACCUGCCCGGUGCUGGAAGGUUAAGAGGAGAGCUUAGCGUAAGCGAAGGUUUGAAUUGAAGCCCCAGUAAACGGCGGCCGUAACUAUAACGGUCCUAAGGUAGCGAAAUUCCUUGUCGGGUAAGUUCCGACCUGCACGAAUGGUGUAA